UUAAGCGACUAAGCGUACACGGUGGAUGCCCUGGCAGUCAGAGGCGAUGAAGGACGUGCUAAUCUGCGAUAAGCGUCGGUAAGGUGAUAUGAACCGUUAUAACCGGCGAUUUCCGAAUGGGGAAACCCAGUGUGUUUCGACACACUAUCAUUAACUGAAUCCAUAGGUUAAUGAGGCGAACCGGGGGAACUGAAACAUCUAAGUACCCCGAGGAAAAGAAAUCAACCGAGAUUCCCCCAGUAGCGGCGAGCGAACGGGGAGCAGCCCAGAGCCUGAAUCAGUAUGUGUGUUAGUGGAAGCGUCUGGAAAGGCGCGCGAUACAGGGUGACAGCCCCGUACGCAAAAAUGCACAUGCUGUGAGCUCGAUGAGUAGGGCGGGACACGUGGUAUCCUGUCUGAAUAUGGGGGGACCAUCCUCCAAGGCUAAAUACUCCUGACUGACCGAUAGUGAACCAGUACCGUGAGGGAAAGGCGAAAAGAACCCCGGCGAGGGGAGUGAAAAAGAACCUGAAACCGUGUACGUACAAGCAGUGGGAGCUCGCUUAGGCGUGUGACUGCGUACCUUUUGUAUAAUGGGUCAGCGACUUAUAUUCUGUAGCAAGGUUAACCGAAUAGGGGAGCCGAAGGGAAACCGAGUCUUAACUGGGCGUUAAGUUGCAGGGUAUAGACCCGAAACCCGGUGAUCUAGCCAUGGGCAGGUUGAAGGUUGGGUAACACUAACUGGAGGACCGAACCGACUAAUGUUGAAAAAUUAGCGGAUGACUUGUGGCUGGGGGUGAAAGGCCAAUCAAACCGGGAGAUAGCUGGUUCUCCCCGAAAGCUAUUUAGGUAGCGCCUCGUGAAUUCAUCUCCGGGGGUAGAGCACUGUUUCGGCAAGGGGGUCAUCCCGACUUACCAACCCGAUGCAAACUGCGAAUACCGGAGAAUGUUAUCACGGGAGACACACGGCGGGUGCUAACGUCCGUCGUGAAGAGGGAAACAAACCCAGACCGCCAGCUAAGGGUCCCAAAGUCAUGGUUAAGUGGGAAACGAUGUGGGAAGGCCCAGACAGCCAGGAUGUUGGCUUAGAAGCAGCCAUCAUUUAAGAAAGCGUAAUAGCUCACUGGUCGAGUCGGCCUGCGCGGAAGAUGUAACGGGGCUAAACCAUGCACCGAAGCUGCGGCAGCGACGCUGAUGCGUUGUUGGGUAGGGGAGCGUUCUGUAAGCCUGUGAAGGUGUGCUGUGAGGCAUGCUGGAGGUAUCAGAAGUGCGAAUGCUGACAUAAGUAACGAUAAAGCGGGUGAAAAGCCCGCUCGCCGGAAGACCAAGGGUUCCUGUCCAACGUUAAUCGGGGCAGGGUGAGUCGACCCCUAAGGCGAGGCCGAAAGGCGUAGUCGAUGGGAAACAGGUUAAUAUUCCUGUACUUGGUGUUACUGCGAAGGGGGGACGGAGAAGGCUAUGUUGGCCGGGCGACGGUUGUCCGGUUUAAGCGUGUAGGCUGGUUUUCCAGGCAAAUCCGGAAAAUCAAGGCUGAGGCGUGAUGACGAGGCACUACGGUACUGAAGCAACAAAUGCCCUGCUUCCAGGAAAAGCCUCUAAGCAUCAGGUAACAUCAAAUCGUACCCCAAACCGACACAGGUGGUCAGGUAGAGAAUACCAAGGCGCUUGAGAGAACUCGGGUGAAGGAACUAGGCAAAAUGGUGCCGUAACUUCGGGAGAAGGCACGCUGAUAUGUAGGUGAAGUCCCUCGCGGAUGGAGCUGAAAUCAGUCGAAGAUACCAGCUGGCUGCAACUGUUUAUUAAAAACACAGCACUGUGCAAACACGAAAGUGGACGUAUACGGUGUGACGCCUGCCCGGUGCCGGAAGGUUAAUUGAUGGGGUUAGCGCAAGCGAAGCUCUUGAUCGAAGCCCCGGUAAACGGCGGCCGUAACUAUAACGGUCCUAAGGUAGCGAAAUUCCUUGUCGGGUAAGUUCCGACCUGCACGAAUGGCGUAAUGAUGGCCAGGCUGUCUCCACCCGAGACUCAGUGAAAUUGAACUCGCUGUGAAGAUGCAGUGUACCCGCGGCAAGACGGAAAGACCCCGUGAACCUUUACUAUAGCUUGACACUGAACAUUGAGCCUUGAUGUGUAGGAUAGGUGGGAGGCUUUGAAGUGUGGACGCCAGUCUGCAUGGAGCCGACCUUGAAAUACCACCCUUUAAUGUUUGAUGUUCUAACGUUGACCCGUAAUCCGGGUUGCGGACAGUGUCUGGUGGGUAGUUUGACUGGGGCGGUCUCCUCCUAAAGAGUAACGGAGGAGCACGAAGGUUGGCUAAUCCUGGUCGGACAUCAGGAGGUUAGUGCAAUGGCAUAAGCCAGCUUGACUGCGAGCGUGACGGCGCGAGCAGGUGCGAAAGCAGGUCAUAGUGAUCCGGUGGUUCUGAAUGGAAGGGCCAUCGCUCAACGGAUAAAAGGUACUCCGGGGAUAACAGGCUGAUACCGCCCAAGAGUUCAUAUCGACGGCGGUGUUUGGCACCUCGAUGUCGGCUCAUCACAUCCUGGGGCUGAAGUAGGUCCCAAGGGUAUGGCUGUUCGCCAUUUAAAGUGGUACGCGAGCUGGGUUUAGAACGUCGUGAGACAGUUCGGUCCCUAUCUGCCGUGGGCGCUGGAGAACUGAGGGGGGCUGCUCCUAGUACGAGAGGACCGGAGUGGACGCAUCACUGGUGUUCGGGUUGUCAUGCCAAUGGCACUGCCCGGUAGCUAAAUGCGGAAGAGAUAAGUGCUGAAAGCAUCUAAGCACGAAACUUGCCCCGAGAUGAGUUCUCCCUGACUCCUUGAGAGUCCUGAAGGAACGUUGAAGACGACGACGUUGAUAGGCCGGGUGUGUAAGCGCAGCGAUGCGUUGAGCUAACCGGUACUAAUGAACCGUGAGGCUUAACCUU
rnacentral:rRNA from 1 species